UACCCGCAGCACAAGUGGUGGUCAUUAUUAUUGGGCCUAAAGCGUCCGUAGCUGGCCUGUUAGAUGCCUGGGUAAAUCGAUGCGCUCAACGUAUCGAAUUCCGGGUAGACCGGCAGGCUUGGGACCGGGAGAGGCGUGAGCUACUCGGGGGGUAGGGGUAAAAUCCUGUAAUCCUCCGGGGAGGACCAGUGGCGAAGGCGUCACGCUAGAACGGCUCCGACAGUGAGGGACGAAGCCCUGGGGCGCAAACCGG
rnacentral:rRNA from 1 species